rnacentral:lncRNA from 1 species
GAGGACGUAUAGAAUGAGCAGGAGCUAAGAGGAGGAAGGACGAUGGUGGAGAACAUUCUAGAUGAUGGUAGUGUGAGGACCUCUACAGACCAUCUCUCAAGUGGAACCAUCAUAACUACUGUCAUUUCUUGAAUGUCCUCACCGCUCUCCCAGCCUGCUCCCUCCUGCGGCUGCGGCACCCAGGACUCUGACCAGCAGGAGGUGGGACUCAAGGACUCCAGACCCAGCCCACAUGCGGGCCGGGCCAGGCCAGGGCAUCUGGAUGAUGCUGAAGAAUGAGAGUUACAGCUCCGAUCCUGGAGCUCAAACUGCGGGGAUGAAGGCUCCGUGUAUUUGUCAUUUACAUGGAUCCGGCGACAUAGCCCUCCACAGCUGUUGCUCCAAUUUGCCCUCCCCCCAGCAGCGUUUGGGGGGGGGGGGCUCCUUCCACAUGGUCUCCCCAACAGUGAUACUCUCCCUCAACUUCUCCUACCUUGAUGACAACCCACAUGCGCCGUUGUUCUCAUUUGCCCAGAAGAAGUAAGAUGACUGCCCAGGGGGCUAACCGGAAGGACUGGAGCUUCAGCCCUGGGCAAGAAUGAAAUAUGUCCCUUCCUCUUUUCUUACCUCCUGAGAGCAGCGAAUCUUCUACAAACACCUGCCUGUGUGUGCAUCUCCCAUGUGGCGUGUCUGGGACUCUGGGCCUCGUCUUGUCUCCCAUGUGGUUGUGCGGCCUGAUACUAAAAUCAGCUCAGCAUCUCAUGUCGGUCACAUCCUUAAUGCUGAGUUUGACUAUAAUUGCAGCAGGCAGACCAUAGUACAUUUACUUAACAUACCUUGAAUUAGGACCUCUUGCAUAAAUUUGCAUGCUAUUUGCAUCUAUUUGAUUGGACUGGGGGGAAAAAAAUCAGUGGUUGCAGCUCUUGAGUCAGGCAGGCUGGAAAGGGGCUGAGGAGCACCCAGCUUGGCCUUGAGCCCAGGGCUGCACUGAUCAGACGCUGAGCACACCCUCACAUCUGCUCUGCCCCCCGGGCUACCUGGGCAGGAGCUGGGCUCUUAAUGUGAGUCUCUUCUCACCCCGGGACUCACCAUGCUUAGGACAGGGGUGGUGCCAGAUCCCUCGGUGUCCAGAUCCCUCCUCCGACAGGUGUCACCCCAGACCAUGUUCCGUGAAGGCCAAUAUCAUGUCUGUCCGGCUGCUGCGGGAUUCCCAUGGACGGUUGGAUAAACUGAAUGAACAAAU